GACGAACGCUGGCGGCGUGCUUAACACAUGCAAGUCGAACGGAAAGGCCCUGCUUUUGUGGGGUGCUCGAGUGGCGAACGGGUGAGUAACACGUGAGUAACCUGCCCUUGACUUUGGGGUAACUUCAGGAAACUGGGGCUAAUACCGGAUAGGAGCUCCUGCUGCAUGGUGGGGGUUGGAAAGUUUCGGCGGUUGGGGAUGGACUCGCGGCUUAUCAGCUUGUUGGUGGGGUAGUGGCUUACCAAGGCUUUGACGGGUAGCCGGCCUGAGAGGGUGACCGGCCACAUUGGGACUGAGAUACGGCCCAGACUCCUACGGGAGGCAGCAGUGGGGAAUAUUGCACAAUGGGCGGAAGCCUGAUGCAGCAACGCCGCGUGCGGGAUGACGGCCUUCGGGUUGUAAACCGCUUUCGCCCGUGACGAAGCGUGAGUGACGGUAAUGGGUAAAGAAGCACCGGCUAACUACGUG
rnacentral:rRNA from 1 species